ACGAACGCUGGCGGCGUGCUUAACACAUGCAAGUCGAACGGAAAGGCCCUGCUUUUGUGGGGUGCUCGAGUGGCGAACGGGUGAGUAACACGUGAGUAACCUGCCCUUGACUUUGGGAUAACUUCAGGAAACUGGGGCUAAUACCGGAUAGGAGCUCCUGCUGCAUGGUGGGGGUUGGAAAGUUUCGGCGGUUGGGGAUGGACUCGCGGCUUAUCAGCUUGUUGGUGGGGUAGUGGCUUACCAAGGCUUUGACGGGUAGCCGGCCUGAGAGGGUGACCGGACACAUUGGGACUGAGAUACGGCCCAGACUCCUACGGGAGGCAGCAGUGGGGAAUAUUGCACAAUGGGCGGAAGCCUGAUGCAGCAACGCCGCGUGCGGGAUGACGGCCUUCGGGUUGUAAACCGCUUUCGCCUGUGACGAAGCGUGAGUGACGGUAAUGGGUAAAGAAGCACCGGCUAACUACGUG
rnacentral:rRNA from 1 species